rnacentral:lncRNA from 1 species
CAGCAACCAAUUAAACCUAACGUAAAUUCCAUAUUAAUAGUCUAAAAUCUAAAAGGUAUAUAAUAAUUAAAGUGCUAAAAAAGCAACAGCUUAAAGACUUGACGCACACAGCAAAACCAUCUCUUUGUUUUAGCAGAUCAAACACCCAAAUAUCUACCUUUAUCCAUAUCGUUUCCAUAUCCCCAAAUCAUUGAUUCUACUCGAAAUCGCCAUCGAUGUUGUGCUUCAAAUUACUUAAAGAUCUGCAUCUCUAUUUUUCUUUUUGUUUUGGUUCAUCGCCAAUUCACAUCAUCAAAUACUGAUUCAUAAAGAAAAACAAAACUUGGGUCUUUAGUUUCUAGUUUCAGUACAUUGGAAAAUCGAUUUCAGAGAAUUGAUGUAUCGAUUUCAAGCAUAUGAAAAAAUCGAUUUCAAAUAAUCAAUUUUACAGAAAGACAAGAAUUGCUAACAUGACGAUUAGGUAAAAACGGGAAAAAUCAUACCACUUUGGAGGAGGAGCGAUGUGGGAAACCGGAAGGAACAAGGUGGGGGGUUGAAAGAGCAACGCCGGUAGAGGGUAAUGCGCGUCUUUUUCAUCAAUCUGCCCCAGUUAGCCAUGUUUUUCAUUUUGACUGAAUCAGCAAAAAAAUAAGGACCGAAUUAGCAUUUUGGACCGAGUCCAAGACUGCAAUAGAAAAACAAACGCACGGACUGAAGAUUUCUGACCGAGUCCAAGCAUUGAACCCGGUUAGAAGGUGCAUCAAACAGCCCCUUAGUCACCUGUAUCAAUACCAAAAUUAAGGAAAUAAUUCCAUAUGCCAAAUAAGUGUUGAUCCACGGAUCAAGAUGAUAGUUAGCUUCAAUCUAUGUGAGAGGCUUCUUUGUUUAUUUUACUGUUAAACCUAUCCAAGCAUCGUAUUGUC